AAGUGACUUUCAUUUGCCACAGGUGUUUAUGUUUUGAGUUGAUUAUGUUUGGUAUUUAAACGCAUUGAUUACUAAACACUUCGCUCAGUAUUGUAUAGUUUAUAUAGUUAUAUUGGGUGUAGUUUUGUAUCGGUCGUAGCCAUGCCGCGAAUGUUCUCGUUUCCCGGUGAAGACCGCGUUUACUUUGGUUUUGUGUUUAAUGUUUAAUAAAGACUUUUGAUCGGCACCUGCAUCCGCCUCCAGUCCCAAUACGUUACGGAAUACUGAGCCUAACACGGAAGCAGCAGAUCAGGCAGAAGAUGAGCGCGGAGUUGGACCUAGUGUUCUGGGAGAAGCAAAGGACACUGGACGAAGCACUGGCGCGGCUCACUCACCAGAUCGCGCAACAAAGACUGCUGCAGCGAGCCGGUCUAUGCGCCACGCCACCAUCCGCGUCGUUCGGGGAGCGCAACCAACAGCUCAGUGAGGAACUUGCUCGGCUCACGCGCAUGAUGGCUGGACAGAGAAAGCUGCAAGCUGUGCUAAGCACCAUGCCCUUUACCCUGUCCCCGCCACCGGAGAACCACGCCGUGCAACGCAGCCAGCAAAGCGGCCAGAACAUCUGGGUCUUCCCACUGCAGGGGAACUGUACAGCGCCAUGCAGCCAGCAGAGUGGCCUGAGCAUCUGGGGCUUCCCACUGCAGGGGAAUUGCACCACGCUGCGCAGUCUAGAGGUGAAGGCUGGCCCAGAAUUUUCUUGGGGGACAACAAAGACUGCAGAGCUCCAGCCUGAGGUCAACAGGGCGACCUCAGGGCUGCAGCUUGAGGCCUAUGGGGAGGUCUCUGCGGGGGAGCUCCCGACAGCCGAGGAGGCCGUCCCGCUGCCCUGCCCAGCCGAGGAGGCCGUCCCGCUGCCCUGCCCAGCCGAGGAGGCCGUCCCGCUGCCCUGCCCAGCCGAGGAGGCCGUCCCGCUGCCCUGCCCAGCCCUCCAGUCCCGCUGGGGAUGCUGCCCAGCCUUCCAGUGCCAGUGCUGCCGGGGGCGGUGCCUUGACUUUCAACCCCGGUGGGGGUGCUGCUCCGCCCAUCUGCUGCCCAAUGGAGGCUGCCUCGCUUUCUGUGGCAGCGAGAGACAGCUUGCACAGGGGCCCAGGACCCCUGUUGGAGGGGGGUUCUUGGUGCUCCGGGAGGAGCACCCUUUGGAGGGGGGUUCUGUUGCGCCACGGCCAGCAGAGGGCACUGUGGCUCGGCUCCGGACGAGUCACAUGACACUGUUUUGGUUCGCUCGCUUCCUGCUCAACAUUGAGUGAAGUGACUUUCAUUUGCCACAGGUGUUUGUUUUGAGUUGAUUAUGUUUGGUAUUUAAACGCCUUGGUUACUGAGCACUUCGCUCAGUAUUGUAUAGUUUAUAUAGUGUUAUUGGUUGUAGUUUUGUAUUGGUCGUAUUGUUUCCAUGCCUUGAAUGUUCUUGUUUCCCGGUGAAGACCGCGUUUACUUUGGUUUCAUGUUUAAUAAAGACUUCUGAUCUGCACCUGUAUCUGCCUGCAGUCCCGAUACAUUAGUCCAUCCUUCCUAAUACAUUAUAGAAGUACAAAUUUACUAUAUUACGUAACUAUUUAAUUAGUGCUACUAGAAUACCAAUAACAUUAUCAGAUUUUCACUAUACACAAUGUCAGAUAAUCCUUCCUGAAUGCUUAUACAGUGCCCUUCAAUAAUAUUGGCAC
ensembl:lncRNA